rnacentral:rRNA from 1 species
CAGCAGCCGCGGUAAAACGUAGGUGGCGAGCGUUGUCCGGAAUUAUUGGGCGUAAAGGGAGCGCAGGCGGACAUAUAAGUCCAUCUUAAAAGUGCGGGGCUCAACCCCGUGAGGGGAUGGAAACUGUAUGCCUUGAGUGCAGGAGAGGAAAGCGGAAUUCCCAGUGUAGCGGUGAAAUGCGUAGAUAUUAGGAAGAACACCAGUGGCGAAGGCGACUUUCUGGACGAAAACUGACGCUGAGGCGCGAGAGCCAGGGGAGCGAACGGGAUUAGAUACCCCUGUAGUCCCUGUCUCUUAUACA